CAGAGUCUUAGAAUGAGCAUUCCACAGCCAGCCGGCUCCUCAGCAUGGCUUUCUCACUGGCAUUCUAGAAGCAGCACGCAGGGGCAGGCAACUACUAGGCAGCACAGCAAGCCUUCAUCACUGCUGACAUGAAACGUCAGAGUUGGGCUACAUCUGGAACCUUAACUUCAUUUGGUUGAGCACCAUGUACCAGACUCUGUGUUCUGUGCUAAAUAACAUCUCAUGUCAUCAACAAUUAUGAAGAAACGAACAUUACAUUGUCUUACCUCUGUGGAAGCUAAAGCUCUGGAAAAAUAUGUCUACUGCCACGGAACUGGAGUGCUAUAGUUGCAUAACAGACUGAAUCUCCUGAUGUCAACUAUGCUUCCAUAAUUUGCCACAGAAACUUAUUAUUUAAAGUGGGGUUUGGAUGGUCACCCUUUUUAUAAUUAUGUUCUUCUACUCUUGGAGGAGAAAAAACACGUUAAGGGCCUAUCAAAAGGAACAGGGCAGUAAGUGAACAAAAACAGCUUGGAAACUCUAAGGUGAGGAUCUACUCUGACUAGAGUGAGGGUAAUUGGAGACUUGAGAUAGGAGAAGCUAUUCACCAGGGAGAAGGACCCUUUGGGGUUAACAAAAUCCCUUAAGCACAGACAUGGAAACAGGCAAGAACAAAGAAAAGAAAUUGCACAGGAAAACCCUUAGUUUAGUGUUCACAACACUGGUAUUAUUGGCAUUUUAGGAAAGAUACUUCUUUGUUCUAGGUGGCUGUCCUCUGCAUUGUAGGCUAUUUCUCAAGAUCCCUGGCCUUCACCUACUAGGUGCCAAUAGGGUCUACCACCUUGCCCCCUCAUUAGGAAAACUAAAAAACUAAAAAAAAUAAUAAAAAAGAAAGUUUCCAGACAUUGCCUGUUGAUAACCACUCCCUAAUAUGAAGAUGUUCCAGCAAGUGGGGGCUGGUAGGAUGUAGGAUUGGGAAGGAGUCAACAGUAGAGAGGAUACCAUGAACCUGACUGGAAGGGAACAGACGUAUGCUCUGAGUUCCUCUCACUAGCAUCCCUCAUGUAUGGUUUCUGAUGACAUUAAAGCAAAUGGAGUCAAAGCUGAUGCCACAAUGGCUCCCUCUGAAGAAUGCCCAACUGGAUCCUGACUGGAAGAUGAAUGUCUGCAGGAGGAGAGAAAGGCAGCUUGGAUCUAUGGAAAUCUGGAAAGGGAAAAACAUUAUUUUCUCUUCUUCUUUCAGUAAAUUGAGUCAAGAAAAGAAGACAAGAGAAAUGCUACAAGAGAGUCUGCAAUUCCCAGACGAGUUUCAGAAAACUUGAGGGGACCUGGACUGGGAGAAGUGUUGGUCUGUGAUGUGCCUUUGACUGCAGUGUCAUCCUUACCUUCACAGGUUGCCUCCCACUCCCACAGUUCUUACUUCUGGACUGCUGUUGUUUAGGAAAAGUGGGAAGGAACUGGGAUACUUAUGCCUGGUAGGCAUGAAGGAAAGAGAGAUAGGGAGUAAGAAUGAAGGAAUUUUUUUUAAGUUCAAAAGGGAGAGACUAACAGUUUAAAGGGGAUCCUAUUUCCCUGUUAAAGAGAAAAUAAAAACAGAAUUGGUCCUAGGGGUUUGAGUGGAUCAAAGAGGCAGAGGAAUGAACAUUUACAAAAUUCCCACUGAGUACCAAUUCUGGGCAAAGCACACUGCAUAAGACGUUACAUUCUAUGUUCACAGCAUCAUACAAUAAUUAUGAACAGUGUGAGCACUAUAAUCUUUUAUCGGAGAAAACUGAGGUACAUGGAGAGUCAUACACAAAUUUAAUGCAAUACCCAUCAAAGUUCCACUAAGCUUCUUUAAGAGAAUAGAACAAACACUACAAUCAUUUAUCUGGAACCUGAAAACACCUAGAAUUGCCAAAACCAUCUUGAGGAAAAGAAACAGAAAUGGAGGCAUCA